rnacentral:tRNA from 1 species
GAAGGUAUAGCUCAGUGGCAGAGUGUGUGCUUAGCAUGCCCAAGGUCCUGGGUUCAAUCGCCAGUACCUCCA